rnacentral:rRNA from 1 species
AUGGAUUCGACCGGGGCCUCGGGGUCAUCUGCGGUUAGCGAUGUUGAAGCAAUGAUGAAGGAGCUGGGGCUGUGUGAAGAGGAUUUGGAUGACGUUGUGGUUGAUGAUAAGGAGGUGCCAAAGGAGGCGGUGAGAUGGGUCGCCCUCGCUAGGGUUAAUACCAACAAAACCUACAUCAAGACUUGGUUCUAUCGCAACAUGAGAGCUGCCUGGGAUAUUGCGCAAGAAUCAAAGUUCAGACCUUUAGAGGAUAAUCUGUAUACUGUGCAAUUUACAUGCUUAGGUGAUUGGGAGUGGGUCAUGCAAGAUGGACCUUGGAACUUCCGAGGUGACGCGGUGACCCUAGUGCCAUAUGACGGAGUCACCAAGCCGUCCCUGAUCAAGCUUGACUAUGUGGACAUCUGG